rnacentral:lncRNA from 1 species
GCUUCUGCAAGUCCCCUGCCCGCUGCUGCCUCUCUGUCUUCCCCGCCUGUGCCGGUGCUGGGUGUUCUCUCUGGAGCAGCUGCGAUUGCAGAUGUUGGGGGGCACCCCUUGAAAGACCCCCGCCGGCCUCCACUUCCCCCGCGGCCGCACGCUCGGCCACCGGCUCCCUCCCAAGCCUUCACCCCGGCGGGACUCGCGCCCCCGGCCCACCCCGCCUGGCACCCCGCUCCCGCCCGAUGGGAACGCUCCGUCCCAAGGUCAGCCAUCUGGACGCGGAGGGAGGAACUGCCGAGUCUGUUGUACCCAAGAUGAGAUAGAGCCAAGGCCGCUUCGCCUAAUUAUCAAACCUUGAGAAAAUGCUCUGUACCUCAUUAAAUUGUCCAAUAGAAUCCCUGUAACUAUGCUUUUCGCUUCUGCACUGUGCUUUUUGCUAUAUAAGGACCCCUCUCCCUUGGCUCGGCGCGCUUAGCCACACAGAAGCUAAGUCCACCCGGGUACCCGCGUCUCUAAUAAAACCUCUUGCGGUUUUGCAUCCAAGUCCGUGGUCUCGCUGAUUCCUGGGUGCAGGUCUCCUUCUACGAAAGUACCUCUUCUGAGGUCUUUCAUUUGGGGGCUCGUCCAGGAUCGAGACCCGCCCAGGGACCACCGACCCACGUUUGGGAGGUAAGCGUUGUGCGGAUCCGCUGUCUUGUCUUGUCUCGUCUUGUCUGUCUGUCUGAAUCCGUUUUAUGAACUGCGCUUGCGUUUGUAGUACACAGCUGCGUACAUUUGUAUUUGGUGGCUCCGAGGAGGAACUGACGAGUUCGGACUCCCGACCACGGCUCCAGGAGACGUCCUGGUAGCGAUUGAGGCCUUAGUGGGCUCACCUUUGUACUUUUGGUUUUGAGCUGAGAUUUAUGACUGGACAUCUUCCCAGUCUCUUUGGAGAAGGCCCUCGGCUUCAGGGAUUUGCAAUCUUUACUGGGGACGAAGAAAGAGGGCCCCCUUCUUCGACCCCCUCUCAAUUCUUACUUUCGACUCUCUGUCGAAACCGCGCUGCGAAAGCCUGUUCUGUGUUGUUUGGUCUUUGUUUUGUAGUUGAUGUGCAUAAACGCAAAUGGAUUACUCUUUGUUCCUCAGAAUGGCCAGCCUUUGACGUGGGCCGGCAGCGAGAUGGUACCUUUAACCCCCAAACUAUAUUUCAGGUAAAAGAGAAGACACCUGAGGUACUCCCCCCGGGAGAAUUGACUGAGGAGCCCCCGCCAGGACAUCUAAACGGCCUUAAAGUUAUUAAGAACUAUAAAAAGACUUUAAUAAAAUUUUUAUGUUGACUGAGAAAUGAAAAAAAAUAUAAGAAACUUAAAUAAUAGAGGGAAAGAAAAAAAGAAAGCUUGUCUAAAAGUGUCUAAGAGAGUCAGAGAAAUGAACUAAAAGGUUAUAGAGGGUUAAAGCAAGUCAUAGCAGAGAAGAUUGUUACAGAAAGUUAUAGAGGGUUAAAGCAAGUCGUAAAAGGUCAGAGGAAAGUUGUUAAAAGUCAAAAAAAAAAAAAGGUUGUUAUAAGUCAGAGAAAAAUAUAAACUGUGCUAUGGUUUCUCAUGUCUACAAAUAAUAAAUUUUUAAAAAAUAAUAAUAUAAGCUAAAAUUUUA